AUACCUUUUAGGAAUCGGUCCGCAGUCCUCAGACGUUGUCCUCCCUCCCGAUGAAGUGUGACAGGCUCCUGAUCUCACUGUUGGUAAAGGGCGGCGUGGAAUCCAGUUCCACCAGGACACAGACCUCGGGGUCCCUGCAUCCAAGCUCAGGGCGGGGGCCCCCUGCUCUUUGCUCACGACCCAGAGAAACAUUGAUGUGAGAGAAACACAUUGGUGCCUCCUGCACGAGCCACGACCAGGGCCCGGGCUGGGGAGGAGCCUGCAACCGAGGUUCGUGCCCUUGACUGGAAUCGAACCCGGGACCCUUCGGUCCACAGGCCGACACUCUAUCCACUGAGCCAACCGGCCAGGGUGCAAAAACUAAAUUAUUUUCAAUUAUUCUAUACAACUCAAUUAUGUUUAAAGUGAAAAGUGCAGGUCAUGUCCCUGCUCCUGAGAACCCCCACGUGGCCUGGUGGGCAGGCUCCCCAGGCCGAGUGUCUGGGACUCAGGUCUCCAGUUCCAGCUGCGGGGCCCUGGUCCCCCCUUUCUGCGGACACUGUCCCCAGGUCAGGGCACAGACACAUUGUCUGCAGAGUUGCUGGCAGUGCCGCUUCCGUAGCCCCUGUGACGGCCUCAGUGACCUGCAGGAGGUCCUGUCUGUAGCCCAGGAAAUAUAUUUGACCUCCGUGGGCCUCAGUUUCCCCCUCUGUAAGAUGCAGGGUUUGGACGCCCUGGUCCCUCAGGCACUCGUUUGCCCUGACCCGUCCGUGAGCCUCGCCGCCUCCUCCCUGCAGUGACUAUUUCUGGUUUCGUUUUCUGCUCUUGUCAGUUUUGCCCAGCAGAGGGGCUUGCCCAGAGGGGCGAGGUCAGGACAGCCGGGGUCACCUUGGGGCUGGCUAGCCCUGUGACCCGGCCAGUCGCCUGGCCCUUCGGGGCCUUAAUUUUCUCAGCUGAGAAGUGAGGGACCAGGCCUGUUUGAUCUCCAGGACACUUCCUGGUUUGAUACCCUGUGAUUCUCACUAUCUCCUUCCUCCCCAGAGUGACCCCCCUGACCCGGAGGGAGCAAGUCAGCUCAGGGCGGGCACAGGGUGGGUGGCGAGAGUAGGUUUUGGGGGGCGGCCUGGGGAAGCUGGACUCGCUUCCAGAGCCCUGAGUCAGUUCCUUGUGGCUGCCUUCGUGUUGUGCUUGCAGCGUUGUGAAAUCCCAGAAGCACGCCCACGCCCACUUCAAGCCAAGUGCCUUCGUGGUGCAUGCCAGCUCCAUCCGACACCACAGGAGCCCCUCGGGGAACAUCGCUCUGGCCCGUGAGCCGGGAGCCCUGCUCCCUGUUCCAUGUGGGUUGGAAGGGGCUGGGACAGCCGACCGCCCCGGCUUGUCCUGGGCUCUCCCUGUCUUAGCGCCAGAAGCCCCAAGUCCCAGGCAACCCCCCAGGCCCCACCAGAUGGCUGGCUCCCCUACCGAUGUUUCUCGCCAGGGCCUGGCCAACUUCCCUAGCGGGACGGUCAUGGUUAAAAGAAGGAGCCAGCAGGUCAGGGAACCUCAUUCACCUGGGUGCCUGACAUGCCCGUCGCCGGCCCCUCCCUGGAGAGUCUGGCUGAGUAGAACUCGAGUGGGGACUGGGAAUUUGCAGUGAAUGAAGGCCCCCAGGACCUUAGCCCUCAGCGGGGCCGGGAAGCAGCCGCCCCUCGGAAGGCUGUGCGGUGAAGGGUGACGGCUCCGGCGCUGGUGCUGAAAGUGGGACAUGACGCGUUGCCGUGGCCGAGCCAAAGCUACGGGCACCUGCAGCUCCUGGGACACCGGCCGCGGAGCCACCCGAGGGGACUCGCCCGUGUCACGGGGCCUCGGCAGCCCCGGUGAUGGUCCCCACUCGCCCCCCCCCCCCCCCCAAUAAACGUCUGUGCAGCGUC